rnacentral:rRNA from 1 species
AUUGAACGCUGGCGGCAUGCUUUACACAUGCAAGUCGAACGGCAGCGCGGGCUUCGGCCUGGCGGCGAGUGGCGAACGGGUGAGUAAUACAUCGGAACGUGCCCAGUAGUGGGGGAUAGCUCGGCGAAAGCCGGAUUAAUACCGCAUACGACCUGAGGGUUAAAGCGGGGGAUCUUCGGACCUCGCGCUAUUGGAGCGGCCGAUGGCAGAUUAGCUAGUUGGUGGGGUAAAGGCCUACCAAGGCGACGAUCUGUAGCUGGUCUGAGAGGACGACCAGCCACACUGGGACUGAGACACGGCCCAGACUCCUACGGGAGGCAGCAGUGGGGAAUUUUGGACAAUGGGCGAAAGCCUGAUCCAGCAAUGCCGCGUGUGUGAUGAAGGCCUUCGGGUUGUAAAGCACUUUUGGCGGGAACGAAAAGGACUGUGCCAAUACCACGGUUCGAUGACGGUACCCGCAGAAUAAGCACCGGCUAACUACGUG